UACGGGGGGGGCAAGCGUUGUUCGGAAUUACUGGGCGUAAAGGGUGCGUAGGCGGCUUAUUAAGUCAGCGGUGAAAGACCAGGGCUCAACCCUGGAACUGCCAUUGAUACUGAUAAGCUUGAGUAAAGUUGAGGUAGGCGGAAUUGACGGUGUAGCGGUGAAAUGCUUAGAUAUCGUCAAGAACACCGAUUGCGUAGGCAGCUUACUAAGCUUUAACUGACGCUGAGGCACGAAAGUGUGGGGAUCAAACAGG
rnacentral:rRNA from 1 species